UAGUCUGCAAGAUUCGGUGUUUCAUCCCUCCAAACCUAUCUAUAAUUUGUUGUUAGAAGAUGCGUUGGUUCUCCAGAGACCUAGAAUGAGAGUUGCUAGAAUGUUCCCUUAACAUAGACUUAUUUCCUUUGCGCUUUACAUGAUGAAACCCCACUUGGAGAACCAAGAAUGGCACUGGAAGAGUUGAGUGCAGAAAAUUGGAUGUGGAAACGAAGAUUUA
rnacentral:misc_RNA from 1 species